ensembl:snoRNA
GGCCUCCUGGUGCUUACCACAGGCUGUGUUCUUACACUGACUGUAUAGAAGGAGGAGGCAGAGCAGGCCCUCCCCAUGUACACCUCAGCUCUGGCCUCAUCGUGCCUGGGCUGUAUUGUGAGUGGGGGGACAAGG